UACGAAGGUGGCUAGCGUUACUCGGAAUCACUGGGCAUAAAGGGCGUGUAGGCGGACGCGUAAGUCCGGUGUAAAAUCCCCCGGCUCAACCGGGGAAGGUCAUUGGAUACUGCGUGUCUUGAGUGCGGGAGGGGAGAAUGGAACUCUUGGUGGAGCGGUGAAAUGCGUAGAUAUCAAGAGGAACGCCGGUGGCGAAAGCGGUUCUCUGGCCCGUAACUGACGCUGAGGCGCGAAAGCUAGGGGAGCAAAC
rnacentral:rRNA from 1 species